UACGGAGGGGGCUAGCGUUGUUCGGAAUUACUGGGCGUAAAGCGCGUGUAGGCGGCCCGGUAAGUCCGCUGUGAAAGUCGGGGGCUCAACCCUCGAAAGCCGGUGGAUACUGUCGGGCUCGAGUACGGGAGAGGCGAGUGGAAUUCCUGGUGUAGCGGUGAAAUGCGCAGAUAUCAGGAGGAACACCGAUUGCGAAGGCAGCUCGCUGGAACGUUACUGACGCUGAGACGCGAAAAGCGUGGGGAGCAAACAGG
rnacentral:rRNA from 1 species